GAUGAAGAACGCAGCGAAAUGCGAUAAGUAGUGUGAAUUGCAGAAUUCAGUGAAUCAUCGAAUCUUUGAACGCAUAUUGCGCCCCUUGGUAUUCCAUGGGGCAUGCCUGUUCGAGCGUCAUUUGUACCUUCAAGCCUUGCUUGGUGUUGGGUGUUUGUCUCGCCUCUGCGCGCAGACUCGCCUCAAAACAAUUGGCAGCCGGCGUAUUGAUUUCGGAGCGCAGUACAUCUCGCGCUUUGCACUCAGAACGACGACGUCCAAAAGUACAUUUUUACACUCUUGACCUCGGAUCAGGUAGGGAUACCCGCUGAACUAAAGCAUAUCAAUAAGCGGAGGA
rnacentral:misc_RNA from 1 species